rnacentral:misc_RNA from 1 species
CACUCCCUCUGCCCUCUCUC